rnacentral:tRNA from 1 species
GGUGACUCAGUGGUAGAGCACUUGCCUUGUAUGCAUGAGGCCCUGGGUUCGAUUCCUCAGUACCA